UAGGAAAUAGGAUCACUGAUGCAGGAAAUCAGGAUUCUUUAGGCUAAAAAAUUGGAUCUGCCCAAAUAUAAGUAUAUCUAGAGGAUUCCUAUACCUGAUAACAACACAUCUUCAGGGGAGUUCAAAGCAGUAACCUUUUCAGUGAUAAACAACCUCUUGUCAAGAUGCAGAGUUCUCUUCAGCAUCCUCCUCAGUUGUAAGAUUUGAGAGUGAUUUAACUAUCUAGAAGUCAUCAGAUAUGAUAGAUUAGUACAAUGAUAUUAUGGCCUAACAGCUGGACUCCCUGCAUGAAACAAUUACUGCCAGCAAGAGAAAAUAUGAGCAGUUGGGUAUAAGAGUAAUGAAGACAGAAGGGAAUGUUUCCAACCCAGAGAUUGCUGAUUUUUCCAGAGUUCCAGUAUUGGCCAAUGUAUUACCAACGUGUCCCCAAAAACUUACAUUUUCAAAAUCUGUGGUUUCUUUAUCAGCAAGUAGAUGUAUUUUCUUCUACAGACUUUCUGACAUCUCCAAACCUUUGUUAGUUACAGUUCAAAAACUCUAUGUUUUUCUACUGAAUAUGAAAGAUUAUUCAAGUUUUUAAGUCCUUAUACAAUAUAGGACUCUGUUUUAGUGAUGAUGAUUAUAAAUCACAAAGGGAAAAAAGAACAACUGAUUGUAAAAGGAAUGUGACCUUUCUCAAGUUCAGGCAUUCUUUUCUUUUUGUAUAUUCUUGUGUUCAAUAUUAUCCAAUUAACUAAAAGUGUUGUUCUAAAUUUACUUGAGCCAGCUGCACACUUUUUUACUAUGACAGCAUGCUUUACAAAUUGAUCUGUCACAAAAGUCAGGGGGACUUUAUGGCAAAAUUUUAGUUCAAAGUAGUGCAGAAUACAUAGGACCCUAGUCCUCCUGCUAAGUGGUUAUGUUCUUUUUCAUUUCAAAUAAUCAAUGGACAAGGAAGGUUAGGAUAUUUUCACUGAGAACAUUUUGUUUUCCUUAUAUAGUUUUAUAACAGAAUGUCUUGCUUUUCAAAUGAUUCCUUUGGGCAUUUAAUAUAUUCUGUGCAUUUACAUUGUUGUGUUAUCCAUCUAAAGAUGUAUGUCACUUGCAUUUAGACCUUCUGGCAGAUGGAGAGCCCAGGCCCAAUGGAUGCAUCUACAUGUGCAAUUAAUGCACAGAAAGUUUACUGUGCAGGAAAAUACUAUGCAGUAAGCUUUCCCUGGGAUCGCAUAUAUGUGUGACUGGGGUCAGG
rnacentral:lncRNA from 1 species